AAAUUUCUAGUCUUUCACACAUUGCUCACCUAUUGUAAAUUAAAAAUAUAUAGCACCCCAUUGUAAAGCUUUAUUCAUAGUGUGGCUGUUUGUUCCCAUCAACCGAGGCCUAAUGAUUUCACUGCAGUGAGGGCCUUGAAUUUUGUUGAAUAUAGAUUGAUUUUGUGUCUUAAUGCUACAACGUUUUUAAAGUGGACAUGUGUCAAUAUAGUCUAUGGUCAAUAUAUACGAUAACAGAAAAACACUGUCAGGGCAGCAUUUCAAACAGACAAAAAGGACAAUGUCCUUAAAAGCCAAGCCAAAAGAGGACAUAUCAGCACACAAGAUUCAAGAGUCCUUUCACACCAACAGGCAGACAGGCAUUAGGAGGUUAGUGUCCAGCAUUCUUGAGCCUGGUUGUUUUGCAGAAAAACUGUCCCAAAGCAUGAUGAUCAGAGACUUGAGGCUGCAGCACCACUUGCCAGACAGCAGCAGCUGAAACAGUCCACGGGUGGGGGCUGAAAAUGUUGCCACUCAAUUUUUUUCUCUGCCACUUAUGAAAUUUUUACAGAACACUUCAGAAUUGUAAACACUGAGUCAGCGCCUGACAGUAGAAACACUGGAUAUAUGAUACAUAAACAAUCACUGACUAUUCUUGAUUUAAGAAUUUUAUAUUAAACUUAAGCCGUGCAAUUAUUUCCUGUACAAUAACUGUAUAUUUAGUUACACUGUGCAACAAUACCUCCUGCUGUAUUCAUCCAUCUUUCAAGCCAAUAUUUUAGAUCUGUGUAUGUAGUAUAACACACAGUAAUUAUUAUGUUCAAUUUUUAUUUACAGCAUAUCUGCAUGAAAGGUAGCCUACAUAGCUGUUUUUUUUAUGUAUAUAUUUUUUAUCUAUCACUCUUGUAUCUGCACUUGUUGAAUCUUAAGCUGAAGUGGCCAGCAAAGUUUAUCUUUGCUUCUGAAAAAUAAUAUUUCUUAAUUGUAUAUUUCUGCAUUGGUGGCAGGGGACUUGGAAGUUUUGAAUUGACCCUGUAUUUGAUAGGUGUGAGGUGCUAAUUUCAUUCCUGUCUGCAUGCCAUGUAACUGACAUCAGAAGCCAGAGUUGAUAAGACACUACAGACACCAGCAAAGUAGGUACUGGGAAAAGAGCCCCAGGCCAGCAUCUGUAAUAGACUUUGGGGCUCAUGGGCCCAUGGACUCUGUGAAAGUGGGAUGAAGAUCGCAAGAUGGCCAUUAAUGACUGAAGUCAAAGACUUCUAACAUGUCAGGGUAGUGCAAGCUUGUUUUACUCCAUUCAGGCUGCCUGGCUCUCUGGCUGUCUCUGUUCUUAAUGCCCUCUGUGUACUGGUAUUGUCAUUCUGUAUUUAGGCUAUGUUAGGGGAGUGGGCCUAUGCAUGAUGUGAACUGGCUGCAUUGUACUUUUGCUAAAUCAUUCCUCUGACCAAAACAUGAUGAUCAUAUAGUGGGAUGUUGUACAAUCAUAAAGAUUCACUGAUGAGUUAAUCACAAACUUGGGCAUGUGCACCAUGCACUUUUGGACUAAAACAGAUAAAUCAAAUCAAUGUUUUCUUUGCACCAAUUUUCAGGUGAAAAGGUGAAAGGAUUUUCAUUUAUUAAAAGAUAAAAAUAAAUCUUUGGGCAAAAAAAAAAACUUAAUUAGGUUAGCAAAUGCUGUUAUGCUAUAUUUUCAUAACACUAGCUAAGCUUUACGUUAUACGCACCUAAUCGCACUUACUCUUAACAGUAGCUCUGUUUAUAAUGAUGACUUUAGUUGUCCAGGCACAAAUUGCCUCUCUGAGGACAUUAAAGUUUUCUAAGUCUAAGGUAACAAGCCAUUGUUCAAUUUGUCUUUUAUUGAUAUUUUUUGCUAAGUUACUGUGUCCCUUAUCUUUCUUUUUUUGUAUAUUAUAGAGAAUCCAGAUACAGCAGGACUGGAGGAUUUGUGAAAACAGGAAGAAUGUGUGGUCAAUAUGUCAGUUUCAUGAUUACCAAUGUAAAUAAUUUGUUAAUAUGUUAAUUUGUUAAUAUGUAAAAUGUUAAUAAUUGCACACAUUCGGUUCGCUUAUAUGUUCACAAGCAUUAAAAGGUACAUAUAUGUACCUUUUCUUUAAAAGGUUAAAGUACAAUAUCAAGAGCCAGCCCUGAUUGGCUGCUUGAUUUUCAAAUUAAAUGAACGUCCAGGUGGCGGUCUUUCUUUCGGCGGAGACGAAGUCAUAGCACGUUACAGGGCAGUAAAAUCAGCAGUGAGCAGUGAAAUAUUUGCAGUGGUAAAAGUUAUUAAUUCCCAAAGAUUUGAAUUAACAAUCCACAGUGUUAAACGGUACUCGUGUUCAGUGUUGUUAUAUGGUGUAACUUCACUUUUACACUAAAAAUGCGAAAUAUAAAACCCGCCGAAUUGUCUGGACUCCGCCCUUCAGUGACUGCUGCCUCGCGAAGCGACAACGCCAUCUUUUCUUCGAGCGACCGAGACGGUAAGCUGGACUGCUUUUCUCUUGAUAAAAGUACAUUGGAAAAACAUUUUUGUUGAUAAUUUAACUCAAAAUAUGAUUUGGUGGUGAACACAUUUAUAAAUUACUAACCGCGAGUGUUUUGUCAGGUUUAGUGUUAAGUUUGUUCGUUAAUUUAUGUUAUAACGUUAUAUGCUUUACGCUUCUUUUAUUUUUAGUUGGUCGACACGUCCUCUUGCCUGUGUUCCCUCCUCGGCCUGGGGUUACUGCGAAUCUGGCGCUGAAGACUGAAGCUGCUAACGUUAUAUUCGAAGCCAAGUUCCUGGCUUCUCCCAAGACCUUCAAGGAUCCAACUGACCUCUGAAUCAGCUGUUAAGAAAAUGGGACAGCUAUAUUGCGUCAAUUAGUCUCCUACUUCAUUUGAUUCCACCAUCAUUACAAGGCUGCAAGGGAUCUGGAAAAAUGUCAUCCUG